rnacentral:piRNA from 1 species
UACAAUACAAGUAAGUUCUGGUGACAUC